AUGUGGGCGGUGCCCAUGAGGAAGCAUGGCAUGGUGCCGGAACACAGCUUCUUCCAAGCUCUCAGCUCAUGGCUGAUUGCAAUAAUGCCGGACAAAUUCUACGACAAGGUGGAGCAGGGAAGCAUUAUCCUCAAGAAAGCAAACGAAUUUAGCUUCUGCAAGGAAGGUGUCAUUGUACAAGGCGAGCCCGCGCCGAUCAAGAGCGACGUCGUGAUCUUUGCGACCGGGUACAAUGGGGAUCAGAAGCUCAGAGAGUUGUUCACCUCACCUCUGUUCAGAGAGAUCGUUGUUGGCACGCCAGCUACUGCGGUCCCUCUCUACAGGCUAUGCGUUCACCCCAGGAUUCCUCAGCUAGCAAUCGUUGGCUACUCUGAGAGCAUGGGAGAUCUACACACCUCGGAGAUACGGUCCAAAUGGCUGGCGCAUUUCCUUGAUGGGGGAUUUUGUUUGCCUGCCAUAAGAUCAAUGGAGGAAAAUGUGAAGGAAUGGGAGGCAUACAUGAAACGCUACUCGGGCGACUACUUCCGUCGAUCUUGCGUUGCUUCUAUCGGUAUCUGGCACAACGACCAGCUGUGCAAGGACAUGGGCUGUGAGCCUAGGAGGAAGAAGGGAUUUCUGGCUGACUGGCUGAUUCCCUAUGAACCUGUAGAUUAUGCAGGUGUCAAUCUGAGGAACUAG
rnacentral:rRNA from 1 species